UAAAACAGGUCAGAGACAGGCAAGGGUCAAAAUACAUGGCAGUAGGUAUGUCAGAGGCUAGGCAAGAUCGGAAUAGGGUCAGCAAGGCUGGGUAAUACACGAAAGAUCUAGACUGAGGUAACGCUGGAAUGCUGGCUAAGAUACACAGACAACCUGAACACUGAGCAUGGCAAAUGCUGAGGCUUAAAUGCAGAGCAACUGAUUACUGAUGAAGAACAGGUGUGGUAAACAAGAAAUGGAAGUAAGGCUGGAACUGGUGACAACAUAAGGCGGGUAGUGGGCAAAACAGUGACUAAGAAAAACACAGUCCUUGACGUUCCUGGAGCCAGGACAAUACGACAAGUGAAAAUUGAAGCGAGCAAAAAAGAGAGCCCAGCGGGCCUGACGGGAGUUUAAGCGCUUAGCUGUAUUGAUAUAUUCUAGGUUCUUGUGGUCUGUAAAAAAUUGAAAUGGUUGUUUUGCACCCUUGAGCCAGUGGCGCCAUACCUCCAUCGCCACUUUGACAGCCACCAACUCCUUGUUGCCGAUAUCAUAAUUCCGUUCGGCAGACAACAGUUUUCGGGACAAAAAGGCACAAGGAUGCAAUCGCCCACCUUCAGGAGCUCGUUGGGACAAGACCGCACCUAUUCCUGAAUCCGAAGCAUCCACUUCCACAAUGAACUGUCGGCUGGGAUCAGGCAUGUGCAGGACAAGAGCCAUAGUGAAGGCCAUCUUGAGUUGUUGGAAAGCCUCCACAGCCUCCAGAGACCAGUUCUAAAAGAAGUGAGAGCAUGAAGGAGUGAGCAAAUGUGAGCAAAAGUGAGCAGCAAAUAAACUGUCGAUAGAAAUUGGCAAAGCCUAGAAACCGUUGAAUGUCUCGAUGGCACUGGGGCUGAGGCCAGUCAGUUACUGCCUUAGUCUUGACCGGAUCCAUUUGGAUGCCCUCGGGAGUGACAACAAAGCCCAAAAAUGAGAUUUUGGACACAUGUAAUUCACAUUUCACUGCCUUAUUGAAAAGCUUAUGCUUGUAGGACUUUUUUAAUACUUGCUGAACGUGGUUCCGGUGUUCCUCCUCGUUGCGGGAGAACACAAGGAUGUCGUCUAGAUAAACAAAAACAAACACAUUGAUUAUGGGGCUUAGUAUAUCAUUAACCAUAGACUGGAAGACUGCUGGAGCGUUAGUGAGGCCGAAAGGCAUAACAAGGUAUUCAUAAUGGCCGGUGGGAGGGUUGAAAGCCGUCUUCCAUUUGUCUCCCUCACGGAUACGAACCAGGUGGUAGGCGCUUCGGAGGUCCAGUUUGGUUAAUAUCUUGGCCUCGGCUAGGAGUUCAAAAGCUGAAUAGAGCAUAGGGCAUAGGGUAGGAAUCUCGAACUGUAAUGGCGUUGAGACCUCGAUAGUCAAUGCAGGGCCGGAGCGAAUCGUCCUUUUUGCCCAUGAAGAACUCCGCUCCGGCUGGCGAGGAAGAGGGGCUGAUGAUUUCUGCUGCCAAGGACUGGUCAAUGUACUCCGACAUUGCCUUUCGCUCUGGACCCAAGAGGGAAAACAUCCUUCCUUUGGGUGGUGUGGUGCUUGGGCAGAGAUCAAUACAACAAUCAUACAAACAGUGUGGUGGCAGGGUGGAGGCCACCUUGCUGAAAAACUUGCCCAGGUCAUGAUAGCAGGGCGGGAUAGUAGAGAGAUUGAUCUCCUCCUCUGGAAGAACAGGGGCUGGAUCAGCAACCAGUUCUGAGUCUAAAGAAAAACACGAGUCAUGGCAAGCAGUUCUCCAGCCCGUCACUUCACCGGUUCUCCAGUCUAGGUUGGGGUUGUGACGUCAGAGCCAGGUGUACCCAAGAACCACAGGAUAAGAGGAGGACUCGACCACAUGGAAAUGGAUCUGUUCUGAAUGAGAAUCUGGGAAAACCAUGGUAAUAGGACCAGUGCUGUGCGUCACCUUCCAGAGCCGAUGACCAUCUAGAGCCGUAGCCUCCAUGGAGGAAGGUAAAGGAACUGUAGAAACACCCAGGCACUUAACCAGGUUGGCAUUCAUGAGGCUAGCGUUGGCGUCCGAGUCCACUUACACGGCGUGCUGGACGGACUGAGAUCCCACAGCGAAGGUAGCAAUGGGCAAGCGUUGAGCGUAGUCCUUACACAGGGCAGAUUGGCUCACCACUAUCCUCUGAGCUAGUGGCAAGCAGUGGCUUUUACUGGGCACGAAAAUGAAAGAUGGCCGGGCUGGCCACAAUACAGGCAUAGACCUGAAGCCCGUCUUCGGUCCGUCUCGGCGUUGGUAAGACGCCCAUCUCCAUGGACUGGGCUGCAGGGGUAAGGACAGAUGACUCAACGGGCCCCUCCGCGAAAUGGGGAAACAGCGCAUGUUGACGUGAAGACUGCGGCAAACCUAGUUCUGAUUGACCAGGGAUCUGGCUGGGCGGCUGGCCUGGAGCGUCUGGGUGGAGUCGCACAAUCCUCUUAUCUGCGUUUGCCGACACUCGCCCACAGCUGGCGGUCGACCUUAAUCGCCAAUGCAAUUAGUUCAUCCAGAUCGGCCGGCGGUUCGGUGGCCGCUAAACUAUCUUUAAUUUGGCGAGACAAGCCUUUGAUGAAAACAUCGCUUAAUGCUGUAGCGUCCCAGCCUGCCUCCGCGGUGAGAGUACGAAACUCGAUGGCGUACGCUGAGGCGGAGCGAUCUUCCUAGCGGAGACUCACAAGUCUCUGGGCUGCUUCUCGACCUAGCGUUACUUCCUGGAAAAGUGCGAAGUGGGAAAAACAGUGACUAAGAGUCCAUGACAGACAGAAAGUGUAUAAGAAAAAGAAUUCUAUAGAAAAACAAUCAAUUGCCGUAAAAUUACUGUGAUAUUGAAUAUGAAUUAUAACAAUUCACCUAAUUACUCUAAAACAAAAAUGUAACCAGUUUGUGUGGUGGUUUAUCCCUUUCUGAAGUCUAGUUUUAAGAACAGUGGAAGUCAGUGUUGCCAGAUUGGAAAUAAAGAAACAUUCUACUGUCAUUUCCAUUCAUCCAUCCAUUUUCUAAGCCGCUUAUUCCCUAAUGCGGGGUCACGGGGAUGCUGGAGCCUAACCCAGCUGGCUACGGGCGAGAGGCAGGGUAUACCCUGGACGUGGUCGCCAGUCCAUUGCAGGGCAACACAGAGACAGACAACCACGCACACACACACACCUACGGGCAAUGGAGAGAGGCUGUGGGAGGAAGCCGGAGAACCCGGAGAGAACCCACGCAAGCACAGGGAGAACAUGCAAACUCCACACAGAAAAGCACCAGGGCCGCCUCCGGGAAUCAAACCCAGAGUAGACAGUGCUACCCACCGCACCACCGUGUCGCCCUACUGUCAUUUCAAAUCAUUGUAUUUUUACACAAUUGUACGGACUAAAAAACAUCUUCAAAAACCACAGUGCAUUUAAAAACAAAACUAAUCUAUGUGCGCAUAACCUAAGAAAAUUAUACAGAGGGUUAGUUAUUUAAAUUAAACAAUUACUUUAAGAUUUUUUGGAGCUAGAGACUUCACAUGUUGCAUGUUUUUAACAUGAUAAUGUCUAAUACGACAUGGAAAAACGCAAAACGCUUCAGUUUCAAUUCAAGCAACAGGUUGAAUCCGCCCCUGAAACGUAGGGUCUAACAACCAGACAGGCCAAUAAAGCCGCUUGGUUUGCUUAAGGGAGUCCUUUCUUUUCAAGUUUGGGGUUUCCAGUCCAUACUCCGCGCAGAUGUUCCUGUAUACUAUGCAGCCACUUGGUUAUGGCGUUCCAUGUAUGCUUUUCCUGCCAGCAUCUUACACCCUGCAGUUAUGUGCUGGACCAUCUCAGGGGCCUCUUUGCACAGUCUACACCUUGGGUCUUGUCUGGUGUGGUAGAUCUGGGCCUCUAUGGCUCUGGUGCUCAGGGCCUGCUCCUGUGCAGCCAGGAUGAGUGCCUCUGUGCUGUCCUUCAGCCCAGCCCUUUCAGGCCAUUGGUAGGAUUUGUUGAGAUCAGCCACUUCAGUUAUGUUCCGGUGGUACAUCCCAUGUAAAGGCUUGUCCUCCCAUGAUGGUCCCUCUUCCAGCAUCUCAUCCUCUGUUCUCCACUGCCUGAGACAUUCACUCAGCACGUCAUCUGUCGGGGCCUUAUCCUUGAUUUACUUAUGAAUCUUGGAUGUUUCAUCCCGGAUAGUGGCUCUCACGCUCACUAGUCCUCGGCCUCCUUCCUUGCGGCUAGCGUAUAGUCUCAGGGUGCUGGAUUUGGGGUGAAACCCUCCAUGCAUGGUGAGGAGCUUUCGUGUCUUAACAUCUGUGGUCUGUAUCUCUUCCUUUGGCCACCUUAUUAUUCCCGCAGGGUAUCUGAUCACUGGCAGAGCGUAGCUGUUUAUUGCCCGGGAUUUGUUCUUGCCAUUGAGCUGGCUUCUUAGGACUUGCCUUAUUCGUUGGAGGUAUUUGGCUGUUGCCGCAUUCCUUGUUGCCUGUUCAAGGUUGCCGUUUGCCUGUGGUAUUCCAAGGUACUUGUAAUUGUCCUCAAUGCCUGCUAUUGUUUCUUAUGGGAGUGAGACUUCUUCUGUGUGGAUUACCUUGCCUCUCUUUGUCACCAUCCUCCCACAUUUCUCGAGUCCGAAUGACAUCCCGAUGUCCGAGCUGUAGAUCCUGGUGGUGUGGAUCAGCGAGUCGAUGUCUCGCUCACUCUUGGCGUACAGCUUGAUGUCAUCCAUGUAGAGGAGGUGACUUAUAGUGGCCCCGUUCCGGAGUCGGUAUCCAUAGCCAGUCUUGUUUAUUAUUUGGCUGAGGGGGUUCAGACCUAUGCAGAACAGCAGUGGGGACAGUGCAUCUCCUUGGUAUAUGCCACAUUUGAUGGAUACUUGGGCAAGUGGCUUCCCAUUGGCUUCAAGGGUGGUUCUCCUAGUUUUGAUUUGAUCACUCUGUGAGACAGUGUCUGACUGUCUGACUUGAAAACCCUGUGACGUAGGGUUUGACUUAGACAAGGAACAGAAUGCUCCUUGAGUGAGGCCUUCCUCUUUUUUCAUCUUUGCUCUUGCAGACUUGUCAAAUUGUCCUGAAGUUUGAGCUCAUAUGUGAAGGUGUUUGUGUUAUCUGUAGGCUUUAAAACUCAAGUUUUAAAGUUGUCAGAGAACCUUGGUGUGCACUUUGUGUGAGCAUCAACUUGUUCUCUCCAACUGGGUGCCUUUCUUUUCUUUUACCUAUUGAUUUCCUUUCUCUUUUAAUUUUUCUAUAUGCAUAUGCAAAAAUAAAUUCACAAAGACAACUUCUGGAAUUCUUCUUUUCAUUGAGUCGUCAGAAGUUCUUGUGGUAUUUUUUUUCCACAACAAUUUGGCGUUGUCAGAUUACAAAAAAAAAAAAAAAACUUGAGAUAGUUUUUCAAAUUAAGGGGGUUUUGAUUCAAUUAGGAAAGGACCAGAAGGAAGAUUUGCCAGGUCGCAAAUCUAGGGAGUGGGGCUUCCUAGUCUGGGGUGAAUGGUGGUCCCCCAGCAAGCUUCUCUAUUUGGGGGCUGAGCCAGGCAAGAGCGAAGCCGGUAGAGUGAAGCAGGUUAAGGCAAUCGUACCGGGGCAGAGAACGAUUCCCUUCUUGACGACGUUCUUGAAGCAAAUUGGGUUAGAAAGUGUACACUUCAUUGCGAAACAAUCAGGUGGUUUGAGAGUAACCACCAGAGAGGAUCGGGUCCGGUCAGACUAAGCAAAUUCUUCUGGAUGGUCCAAUAAUAAAAGUCAUGACAAGAAAAUAUGGCCGAGCCAGCAUAAAUGGGUAAAGGAUUGGGUUUCUAAAUACGGCUUCCCAAAGGGGGAAGUCUGAGCUGCACCAAGAUUGAAGAGUUAGAGAAAAAGCUGGAAGCAAAGGAAGUUGAACUAAAGAAAAGAAAGUGGAAAAUGUUAGAGUAUAUAUAUAUAGUAUAUAUAUAUAUAUAUAUAUAUAACAGAAUAUAUAUAUAGUAUAUAUAUAUAUAACAGAAAGUGUUUGGAGUUGUGGAAGAAGGAAGCAGAAAGUAGGGCUAGGAAGCAGGCAGUAAAUGAACUGCGAGGAAGAGGGAAAGAUAUUCCUCCACCGUAUUCCCGUCCAUGUGCAUCUUCCCCUCCCUCUAUUUAUCCUUUUGCAGAAAUGCACGCAGGAUCCCGACCUAGACUCCAAGUGAUCAGCCAGCCAGAAAUACAGCAAAAAUCGGUGGAUAACCUCAAACACAGCCCUUGGUGUCAUCGUCAUCAGACCCAGUAGUGUCAUCCCACGCAGGACAGCCAGCGUCAUCCACCGUCUUACCACCCUAUACAUUUAAAAACCUUUACCAAGAUUUAUAUGCGUCCCAAAUAGAUCCAUCCACCUCAGCCAUAGAGGUGUUUUUAAAUAAACUAGAACUGCCAAGGUUAAAGGAAGAACAAACCCAAUAAAGCCCAAUAAAAAAGCUCCAGGGCCAGAUAAAUUCCCAACUGAAUUUUAUAAGGAGUUCUGGUCCAUGCUGGCACCCAGCUUUUACAAAAUGGUAGUUGAAGUUAAACAACAGCAUUCAUUACCCACAAAUAUGAAUUCAGCCUUCAUAAGCCUGCUCCAAAAACCAGGAAAAGACCCUACACUUCCAUCAAGUUACCGACCAAUUUCACUAAUAAAUGUAGAUUUAAAAAUAGUGUGUAAAGCACUUGCUAGAAGAUUAGAAAAAUUCGCUCCAUAUAUAAAUCACUCUGAUCAAACAGGCUUCAUUAAAGGUAGACAGUCAACAAACAACAUGAACAGAUUAAUCAACUUAAUGGAUUAUGUCACCACCUAUAAACUAGAGUCAGCCAUCGUCUCCUUAGAUGCAGAAAAAGCUUUCGAUAGAGUAAACUGGAGGUUUCUUUUAGCCACUCUGCAUAAAUUCGGCUUUGGGAAAUCAUUCAUAGACUGGAUCCAAAUAUUAUACAGCUCAGCAAAUGCUGCAGUCAGAACAAUGAACCAGACCUCACCAAGGUUUAAUCUGCAUAGAGGGAUCAAAGAGGGCUACCCACUUUCUUCUAUUAACCAAAUCAGUAAAUCAUAAAAACAGUUUAUUUGCUGACGAUGUGUUACUGUUUCUCCUGGAGCCACAGUUGUCUCUUCCUACAGUACAACUAUCAGCCUCAUAGAUGAAUUCUCAGGACUUUCAGAAUACUAUAUUAACUGGUCAAAAUCUAUAGUUGUUGGAGAAAAUAUAUUUUCAUUUAUUAUUCAUCUCAUCUAAUCAUUUAUAUGUAUCAUUUACCUUUUUACAUUUUCCAUUUAUGGUUUGCAUUUGCUGUGCCUUAUAACCCCAUUGACAGAUGCACAGACUUCUAGCCACAGGUUUUCAAGUAUUGUCAUAUACGAAGAACAAUUUUGUCACAUUUGCCAUUUGCUCUGUGCUCCUAUGCAGGCGUAGGGGUUCAAAACCACAAGAGGGGCUGCAGGAGUACUGCUAUGCCUAAUGUGUGUGUUUCUGCAUGUUCAGCAAUGAUGUGAUGAUGUGAUGAUGAAGGCAUGUACAAGCUUCAAUAAAAUGUUGUGCUUUGGGGAAGUUCGUUGGAGUUGGUUGGUCUCUGAGUGAAGCGCUUACAACGCUAAGAUCUCAGGCGAACUCCCCUUGGCCAAGUAAAAUCUCUGGUUGGCUCUCAGUGUGCUAUAUUGUUCUCGUCUCUGUGUGUAUCAGUGCUGUUGUGGUAUUUUCAGACCCAACAUAAUUUGGUCCUUCGAGCCGGAUCUCAACAGUCCACGUCGUGGGAGGAGAGUGAUGGAACACCGAAGCCUGCCGGCAGCCGGACAUCUUGUUGUCCGACACAAAAUCCUGGGGCGUGAAUUCGUCGCUGGGUCUGUGAAAUAGAUCCUGAUCUUUCCUCCGACGGCGUUGAUGACGAGUUCCAAGAGACAAGCAAUACAGCAACAAUGAGAGGAGAAGAUCGAGCCAGGUGACCAGAUCCUCAUCAAGGCCAUCAAACGAAAGACGUGAUCAAGUCCGCGGUGGGAGGGGCCAUAUACUGUGGUACUCACUACACUGACGGCUGUAAAGUCGAGGAGAGAGCUACGUGGAUCCAUCAAAACCACUGCAAGAGGGUGAUUCCCCUGGUUGGCACUGAGUAGGGGUGGAAGUCGACCGGUAUCAAAACCUUUGGUCGCCGAAGAAACCAACUGAUCCCCGCUCCCAGCUAUGGCACCAGUGGGUAAGCUCCGGGUAGUGGUCUGUGUCACAAUCUUCAUGAUUGGUUUGUUUGCUCUCAAUGUACUGUGGGAUGGCCAGAUGCUGAAUCUGUUUAGAGUGAAGAAAUGGACUGGUACGCCAGUGGACGACUGGAACUGGAAGGACCUGGACCCCAACCACAAGCACCCGUUCGAGACCAACAUGUGGUAUCAUUAUGUCAAGGUGUUAGCUAAAGCAUACAAUGAAUCAAAUUGUUUUUUGUGCUCUCACAUGCCGCAUUCAUCUUCUCACCUGACACUCUAUGCUACACUCAUGCCUUACUAUGAAAGGUUUUACAAAAGGUCUUAGGUUGAUACAAUGUUUUGACGUUCACAUUGAAAACUGAUUCAGAGAGAUGUGAUACUAAUGUUUAAUUGUCCUUGUAAUGACAAACAGGGGGGAAUGUUGGAGAAAAUAUAUUUUCAUUUAUUAUUCAUCUCAUUUAUUAUAUUCAUCUAAUCAUUUAUAUGUAUCAUUUACCUUUUUACAUUUUCCAUUUAUGGUUUGCAUUUGCUGUGCCUUAUAACCCCAUUGACAGAUGCACAGACUUCUAACCACAGGUUUUCAAGUAUUGUCAUAUACGAAGAACAAUUUUGUCACAUUUGCCAUUUGCUCUGUGCUCCUACGCAGGCGUAGGGGUUCAAAACCACAAGAGGGGCUGCAGGAGUACUGCUAUGCCUAAUGUGUGUGUUUCUGCAUGUUCAGCAAUGAUGUGAUGAUGUGAUGAUGAAGGCGUGUACAAGCUUCAAUAAAAUGUUGUGCUUUGGGGAAGUUCGUUGGAGUUGGUUGGUCUCUGAGUGAAGCGCUUACAACGCUAAGAUCUCAGGCGACCUCCCCUUGGCCAAGUAAAAUCUC